UACGGAGGGGGCUAGCGUUGUUCGGAAUUACUGGGCGUAAAGCGCACGUAGGCGGCUUUGUAAGUUAGAGGUGAAAGCCCAGGGCUUAACCCUGGAAUUGCCUUUAAGACUGCAUCGCUAGAAUCGUGGAGAGGUGAGUGGAAUUCCGAGUGUAGAGGUGAAAUUCGUAGAUAUUCGGAAGAACACCAGUGGCGAAGGCGGCUCACUGGACCGGUAUUGACGCUGAGGUGCGAAAGCGUGGGGAGCAAACAGG
rnacentral:rRNA from 1 species